rnacentral:lncRNA from 1 species
CCAGUAUCUCCAGAUGCUGUUUCCAGGGAACUAAGCUGCUUUCUAAUUAAAACUGCAAAGAGCAAUGGAGAGUUUAGGCAACGACCAUGCUUCUUCGGACUCUUCCCUGCCACCCUCUGCAGCCAAUGAGGAGUAUGCUGUGCCAGAUGUCAUCAUAACCCGUCGCUUGAGAGACCGAGAGUUGCUCAGGAAAAGAAAAGCAGAAGCCCUGGAGAAAGAUUCAGCUCAGUGGGUUAUGAGAGACUAUAAGAACGAACAGCAAAGGAGAGGCAGAAGAGCCAAAAGAGGACGGGGCCGUCAGACGGUGGUCAAGGCUGUCCUGGAGUCAGAGCCAGCAGUGGACCCCCAGCCUGACCCACAGGAGAAGGCUGAGCCAGUGCCCUCUGAGCCAGCACUGCCUGAACCAGGCUUUCAACAGCAGCCACCUGUGCUGACCAUCCAGAACAUGGUCAGUGGGAUGCAAGCAGUGGCAAUGGAAGGGGAGCUGGCAGACAGGAGCUUGGACCCUGCUGGUGAAGAGGAUGUUCUGAAACCAGCAGAAGCAGAUAUACUAGAAGCGUUGAAUACUCCUCUGGAAAAUGACCACCAGGAUAACGAAUUCAUCCCACAUAUUCUGUAUUAACUUUCUGAUUUUUUGGGGAUAUUUUUUAUUUUUACUCUCAAAAAAGUAUGGCACAGUACUUUGAUAAGUAUGGGACAGUGAUUUUGAGCAGCUUCUUUCUUGGGAGCCAAAAAGCCCAUACUCUCCUUGUCACUCUGCUUUCUGUGCUUCUUCCAGGCUAGAGAGACAGUCCAUAGGGAGUUGCCUGUGGCUUAUGAGCCUCCUGCUCUCUCUGCAAACAGGCUGUUUUGCUUGGGCCAUGGAAGGCUUCACAGUGCUCUGCCUGCAGUUCAGUCAUACAGUCCAGCAUCCAUCUGUGUUUCUGAAAGUAAUUACUUAUUUGCAUAAAUGUGAGUGGCAUUACAAAGCUAACACUCAGUGUGAAUUUUAGCUGGCUGGAGAAGCCCAGCUUGGGCUUUUUACUGCACCCUAUAAACCCCACCACCCUUUGCACUAGUAUCUUUAUCUAAAAGUGUUUCUCAUAGCCUGUAUUCAUCUGCAAUAAACACCUUGCUU